rnacentral:sRNA from 1 species
UAUCAAUAAGCGGAGGAAAAGAAACCAACAGGGAUUGCCCUAGUAACGGCGAGUGAAGCGGCAUCAGCUCAAAUUUGAAAUCUGGCUCUUUCAGGGUCCGAGUUGUAAUUUGCAGAGGGCGCUUUGGCGUUGGCAGCGGUCCAAGUUCCUUGGAACAGGACGUCACAGAGGGUGAGAAUCCCGUACGUGGUCGCUGGCCUUCGCCGUGUAAAGCCCCUUCGACGAGUCGAGUUGUUUGGGAAUGCAGCUCUAAAUGGGAGGUAAAUUUCUUCUAAAGCUAAAUACUGGCCAGAGACCGAUAGCGCACAAGUAGAGUGAUCGAAAGAUGAAAAGCACUUUGGAAAGAGAGUCAAAUAGCACGUGAAAUUGUUGAAAGGGAAGCGCUUGCAGCCAGACUUGCCUGUAGUUGCUCAUCCGGGCUUUUGCCCGGUGCACUCUUCUGCGGGCAGGCCAGCAUCAGUCUGGGCGGUUGGAUAAAGGCCUCUGUCAUGUACCUCCUCUCGGGGAGGCCUUAUAGGGGAGGCGUAAUGCAACCAGCCUGGACUGAGGUCCGCGCAUCUGCUAGGAUGCUGGCGUAAUGGCUGUAAGCGGCCCGUCUUGAAACACGGACCAAGGAGUCUAACAUCUAUGCGAGUGUUUGGGUGUCAAGCCCGAGCGCGUAAUGAAAGUGAACGGAGGUGGGAUCCCUUUAGGGUGCACCAUCGACCGAUCCUGAUGUCUUCGGAUGGAUUUGAGUAAGAGCAUGGCUGUUGGGACCCGAAAGAUGGUGAACUAUGCUUGAAUAGGGUGAAGCCAGAGGAAACUCUGGUGGAGGCUCGCAGCGGUUCUGACGUGCAAAUCGAUCGUCAAAUUUGGGCAUAGGGGCGAAAGACUAAUCGAACUAUCU